UUUCGCGACUUGUGCCCAACAGUACAGAAUGAAUGCUUCAAACCGAAUUUGAAAUUGUGAAGAAUCAAGGUAUAAUAACAAUAGAUACAUGAGGAAAAUAAAGUGAAGUAGUAGUAUGUACCUUGGAAAGAGCAAGAGCAUCGAGAAUUGCAAGGACAGUAUUUUAUCUGUUUGUUUUUCAUCUCUUGGAUUUAUCCAGUGGCUGAUACUGUUGCAUGAGAGAGUGCAGUAGAGAGCAUUGAAGAAGGAGGGGAUCCAAAUCCCUCCCCUAUCUUAGCCCGGCCGGGGUUGGGCAUUUCAUAGACUGCAGCUAAGAGGUUUUCCGGCCGCCAUGAAGACUAUGAAUCUAUGUCCGCACCCGAUACUGCCCCGCCGUUCAUCUUCAUCAUCAUCAUCAUCUCCCACACUUAGGUCACAUUGUUCUCUAACUCAACAACAUCCUCUCAGGUUCGCCGUGCUUGGUGCUGGAUUCGCAGGCCUUUCAGUUGUUUGGCAUUUGUUGAAGCAAAGUCCUAAGGAGUUGAACCUAAAAAUUGAUUUAUAUGAUGAAAUGGGCAUUGGGGGUGGUGCUUCUGGAAUUUCUGGAGGACUUCUUCACCCUUAUUCCCCAAAAGUUAAGCCUCUCUGGGAGGGUGCUCAGUGUUGGAAAGAGAGCAUAAAGCUUUUGAGAAUUGCUGAAGAUGCUAGUCUCUCCAAGGACUGCAAAAUUGGAGAAUGUACUCAACAAGAUAUGAAAGCUUUUGUGGCUAGUAAAAGGGGCAUCUUACGACCGGCAAUGGAUAUGAAGAAUAUGACCAAAUUGAAUGAUAAUGCCAAGAUCUGCCUUCCUUGCUGCCGAGUACAAACACUUAAUAAUGAAGAGGCUCAAAAUCUUUUACCUGGUGUAUGUUUACCGUUUAAUACAGCUUUCUUUCUUCCCGAAGCUCUAAAUAUCAAUCCUCGACACUACCUUGAGGCACUUUUCCAAGCAUGCAAAAAUUUAGUGAAAGAAUCAAUCAGUUUUGACUCUGGAGAGAAACAACUCAGUUUACACAAAAAAUCUGUCGAUGGACUUUCUGAGUUUGAAGUCUCAGGGGAAUAUGAUGCAGUCAUCAUAUGCCUUGGUGCAAAAGUCAACAUGCUUCCUGAGAUUUCUGGGAGGCUUCCUUUGAGGACAUGUAGGGGUGUAAUUGUGCACAUGGAGUUGCCUGAUGAUAUGAGGUGUUAUCCUGAGCAUGGACCAUCCAUAUUAUCAGAUGCAUGGAUCGCCGUUCAGGACUCUCGUAGUCUAGAUGUGGGCUCAACAUGGGAGUGGAAAUCUAUAAAUUCAUCACCAAAUGUUUCAAGUGAUGAAGCUUCAAAAGCUCUUCAUCAUCUCCUGCCGAAGGCAUCUACUAUUUAUCCUGGAAUAAAGGAUUGGGUUUUCACUGGAGCAAGAGCUGGUCUAAGGGCAAUGCCUCCACUCAGUCCCCUUGGAUCACUUCCACUUUUGGGUUGUAUUAAUGAUUUCAUAAGUAAUAAUCAUAGUUGUAAGUAUUGGUUAUUUGGAGGGCUAGGUUCAAGAGGAUUGUUAUACCAUGGUUGGUUAGGCAAUUUGAUGGCACAUGCUGUGCUUUCCUGUAAUGAAGAAUGCAAGAUUGAAGUAACCAUUAGCUGGGGGAAUAAUCUUGUAGAGAAAUAAUGCAGUAGUUUGCUCCUAAUAGAGAAUGGAACUUGAGUGAGAUGAGAACUGUUUAUUGUAGAUAAAAACAUCAAGAUCGUAAUUUAAAAAAAAUAUGAAUAGAAGUCAUUGAUUCAGCUACGUGCACCGUGUUUAUGAGAGAGUGCAAUAGAGACCAUUGAAGGAGGGAAUCCAAAUCACUUCUCAAGCUCUCUCAUUCCAUCAUCUCAUCAUAGAAAUAACCUCCACACCCAUAAUAGAGUAAAAGAGGACUGAGAAGAAGAGUGAAAAGGAGAAAUUGUGAGAAAGGAGAAAAGGAAAGUUAGGGUUUCAACAUAGUAGAAGUAUAGAGUUCUUACAUGUUGAGAAGGAAGAUGGAAACUUCAAGAAGAGUUAGGAUUCCACUUUUAGAAGAAGGAAUUAGAAUCAAACUUUGGGGUCUUAAAUCUCUUUUUAAGGUAACGUAGAAAACCCUCUUAGGUGUGCUUAUGAAUCUUGAUUGCAUGUUGCUAGAAAAUGUUAAUGAUUUUCAUGUUUGGGUAUUGUGAUCAUCCUAUUUAAUUUGGUAUCAUUGAUUAUUAA